rnacentral:rRNA from 1 species
GGGUCAGUAGGUUGGUCGUGCCACCGGUACGUACUGGUCUCACUGAUACCUCCUUCCUGAAGAACCGUAAUGCCAUUAAUUUGGUGUUGCGGGGAAACAGGACUGUUACUUUGAAAAAAUUAGAGUGUUUAAAGCAAGCUAACGCUUGAAUACAUUAGCAUGGAAUAGUGAAAUAGGACGAUCGAUCCUAUUUUGUUGGUUUCUAGGAUUGACGUA